rnacentral:rRNA from 1 species
AACGCGAAGAACCUUACCAGCUCUUGACAUGCCCGGUAUGGGCGGGAGAGAUCCCGCUCUUCGGUUCGGCCGGCCGGGACACAGGUGCUGCAUGGCUGUCGUCAGCUCGUGUCGUGAGAUGUUGGGUUAAGUCCCGCAACGAGCGCAACCCUUAUCCCUAGUUGCCAUCGGGUCAAGCCGGGCACUCUAGUGAAACCGCUUCGGAUAACGGAGAGGAAGGUGGGGAUGACGUCAAGUCCUCAUGGCCUUUAUGUCCAGGGCUACACACGUGCUACAAUGGCCGGUACAAACCGUCCCAAACCCGCGAGGGGGAGGCAAUCGGAAAAAGCCGGCCUCAGUUCGGAUUGGAGUCUGCAACUCGACUCCAUGAAGCUGGAAUCGCUAGUAAUCGCGGAUCAGAACGCCGCGGUGAAUACGUUCCCGGGCCUUGUACACACCGCUACAGU